UGCAGGGUGGCACAGUGGUUUGAGUGUUGGACUGCAACUCUGGAGACCAGGGUUCGAUUGCCAGCUCAGCCA